rnacentral:rRNA from 1 species
AGUGACGUCAAGUCCUCAUGGCCCUUAUGCCCAGGGCUACACACGUGCUACAAUGGGCGGUACAAAGGGUAGCGAUGCCGCGAGGUGAAGCCAAUCCCAAAAAGCCGUCCACAGUUCGGAUUGGAGUCUGCAACUCGACUCCAUGAAGCCGGAAUCGCUAGUAAUCGUGGAUCAGCAUGCCACGGUGAAUACGUUCCCGGGCCUU